rnacentral:lncRNA from 1 species
GCUUCGGAGCAAAUAUUGGAAAGACUUUCUGUCUGCUGUGAUAAGACACCAUGACUAAAACAGACAUGAGGAGGAAAAGUUAUCGCACCUUAUAGCUGCCAGUAUCUAACUGUCCAUCGCUGAGGGAAAUUAGGGUGGGAACCGGAGGCGAGAACUAAGAGAAGCCAUGGAGAAGAGCUGCUUGCUGGCUGGCUUCACUGCUUGCUCAGCCUGCUUUCACUUGCCCAGGGAUGACACCAGUCUCAGUGGAGGGGGCCCUCCCACACCAAUCAUUAAUCAAGAAAACGCUCUACAGGCAGGCUCACCUACAGGCCACCUGAUGGAGGUUGUUUUCUCAAUUGAGGUUCCGCUUCCUAGGUAAUUCUGGCUUGUGUCAAGUUGAUAAAAACUAGCUAGCUCACUUUCUCUCCCUAGGGCCUUCUUUGAGCAGUGGGAUCAAAUUCUUAUGUGUCUCUCUAGAGACAAUCAGCACUGGAUCAUCUGUAAACAGCAGUGGACACAAGAUCUGGGCUCUGUCCAGCCUAAGGAUCGUUCUCAGACCAUGAAGCCCUUCCUCACAGGGUCUGGAUUACACCUACUGGCCUGCUUGCUGUCUCUGGUUGAUGGGACAGUGGGAAGGGAGAGGUUACCUUCCCCUGGGGGCGGAGUUUCCUCUGUGAAGUUUCUACACUGUCCACAGGUGAGCUCAGGACUCACAAAGGUAGGGGUGUGUCCAGCCAGGAAACCCCACCCACUGCUGCUGUGAAUUAUCAAGAUGGCCACCCCCAGCGUUUCUAUCCUGCUCCUCCCACACAGCCCUGAGCUCCACACAGUUGUAAACCUCUCCAGUCAGCUCACUAGGAACUGUUUGAGCCCACACAUGACCUAGGGGUAUGGCAAGUUAUUGACCAGCACAGAGGCCACUCACUGGUCAGUUCCAGACAGCCCACACUGUGCCUGCCCACACACGAUGGCUCACAUCUGAGGGUAAUUCGGGAAACAUUCCCUGUUUAGUUUCAAUAUCUCUCUCUCUCUCUCUCUCUCUCUCUCUGGCUCACUCAUCUCCCCACACACAUCCAACCACGAGUAUCAUUAUUAGACCAAGUUCCCCUCAGGUUUGAGAGUCAAAGGCAUAGAAAUAACAUGCGGCCUUCUCAGAAAGGGUUGUCCUUGGAGCUGGCACCAAAGGCAAACACCCGAGGUGCACACUGGCCUAUUUUGAAAGCAAUCUCCGGGUGAGUUCAUCCCUGUCUCUCCCUCCCCUGUGAAAUCUAUUUUAAAAGAUCAGAAUUUUCUUUACAUCCACCUCUGAAAUGUGCUACAGAGGAGAAGGGAAACAAACAUGCCAGGGUACAGGGUGUGGGUUCAACGUGAAUAAGGACAGAAGGCAGGCCUGUUAGGAGUCCGAUGGUCUUAUCCCCAGUCCAGCUCCGUAGCCCUCGUAGGUGAAAGGAGAGACUCAUGAAACUGCUCCUCCCAGCUCUGCCUGGGCCUCUGCCUGCUCCACUCUCGGGCUCUGCAGCCUCCUGGUAGUUAGAAGAACACCCAGCUUCCUAGUGCAGUCCCCCAUCAUGUGUGGGUCCUUGAUAGUGUGAUCACAUCCACAGCCCACUGAAGCCUUCACCCCACCCUGAGGGCCAGAAUUCUCUCUGUCUGCCAUGCCUCCUCACCCACUAAGGGGUUACCUGGCAUGUGGGAGUGGCCAGAAUUCAAAGAAGGCCGAGGAGCUGGCCCAGGUCUGAGCACAUAGCUCUAGGCAGCUUCAGAACAAAAGGAGUGACAGAACAGUGUCACUGCGGAUAGCCAGUCCCUCCCCUUGUCCCUUCUGUUGGGUCCCAAGGGAUCUACUGGUUGGCACCCUGAGACCACUCCUUGGCCAGGAAAGCCAGCAUCUACUUUGCCACCUCAUUCAAUGGCUGCCUGAAUGGCCGUUGGGCAGUGUGGCCAACAUCUUUCC